rnacentral:rRNA from 1 species
GACGUAGGGCGCGAGCGUUGUCCGGAUUUAUUGGGCGUAAAGAGCUCGUAGGCGGUUUGUCGCGUCGUCUGUGAAAUCCCACGGCUCAACUGUGGGCUUGCAGGCGAUACGGGCAGGCUAGAGUUCGGUAGGGGAGACUGGAAUUCCUGGUGUAGCGGUGAAAUGCGCAGAUAUCAGGAGGAACACCGGUGGCGAAGGCGGGUCUCUGGGCCGAUACUGACGCUGAGGAGCGAAAGCGUGGGGAGCGAACAGG